CUUCCAAAUCCUUGCUCACCGUUGAGAUAAGACUCAUGGACUGUAGUUUUGAGGAUGGUUUUGUUACAGAGCUAUAGUUCUGGCUCUUCUGCUUCCCAAGCCCAUGAGAUAUAAAGCACAGGCUGAGCUACAGUCGAAAGAACAAAUCAUCCAAAGCCACAACCUGUGCUUUCCUGGAGAAGGAAGUUUUUCAGAAAUGCAGGGAAAAUGGCUCUCUGCCACAUCUUGCCUGAAGACCAUACAUAUAUCACUGGAGAUCAGAGGAAGAGAUGACACAUGCUGGCAUCAGGCAGGAUUUAUGGAAAACUGCUCCUGUGACAGUCGUCUCCUACAUGACCUCUUGCAGUUCCUUUUAAGACUUCUUUCUUUUACUCCUUGUAAAUAUUCCUGGUGCAGAGGCAUUGAAAUAUUACAAAAAAAUAUUUGUAUACUCAUAAGGCAGAUGGAUGUGCUAAUUUCUCCAUGAGGAGGUAAUUAAAAGUGCUAUCUCCUCUCCCAAAG